AAUGAACGCUGGCGGCAUGCCUAACACAUGCAAGUCGAACGAGACCUUCGGGUCUAGUGGCGCACGGGUGUGUAACGCGUGGGAACCUGCACUUAGGUUCGGAAUAACUCCCCGACAGGGGUGCUAAUACCGGACAAUGUCUUCGGCCCAAAGAUUUAUCGCCUUUGGAUGGGCACGCGUUGGAUUAGCUAGUUGGUAGGGUAAAAGCCUACCAAGGCGACGAUCCAUAGCUGGUCUGAGAGGAUGAUCAGCCACACUGAGACUAAGACACGGCCCAGACUCCUACGGGAGGCAGCAGUGGGGAAUAGUGGACAAUGGGCGAAAGCCUGAUCCAGCAAUGCCGCGUGAGUGAUGAAGGCCUUAGGGUUGUAAAGCUCUAUUACCCGGGAUGAUAAUGACAGUACCUGGAGAAUAAGCUCCGGCUAACUCCGUG
rnacentral:rRNA from 1 species